rnacentral:rRNA from 1 species
AUGGGUGAGAGAGUGAAGGGAACCGUGAAGUGGUUCAACGUCACCAAGGGGUUCGGAUUCAUCUCCCCGGAGGACGGCAGCGAGGACCUCUUCGUCCACCAGUCCGCCAUCAAGGCCGACGGCUACCGCAGCCUCAACGAGAACGACGUCGUCGAGUUUGAGGUCAUCACCGGCGACGACGGCCGAACCAAGGCCGCCGACGUCACCGCACCAGGAGGGGGUGCGCUCGCCGGCGGCUCCCGCCCUGGCGACGGCGGUGGUGACCGCGGGGGUCGCGGCGGGGGUGGCUACGGUGGAGGCGGCUACGGCGGCGGCGGCGGCGGCGGCUACGGUGGUGGUGGCGGCGGCUACGGCAGCGGUGGCGGCAGCUACGGCGGCGGUGGCGGCUAUGGAGGUGGUGGCGGCGGCGGCCGCUACGGAGGAGGCGGCGGCGGCGGCCGUGAGUGCUACAAGUGCGGCGAGGAGGGCCACAUCUCCAGGGACUGCCCCCAGGGCGGCGGCGGCGGUGGCGGUGGCUACGGAGGUGGUGGCGGCCGUGGCGGUGGUGGUGGCGGUGGCGGCUGCUUCUCCUGCGGCGAGUCCGGCCACUUCUCGCGCGAGUGCCCCAACAAGACCAACUAG